rnacentral:lncRNA from 1 species
GGGAAAGCCGAGGCCCGGUGCUGUAUUCUGCCGCCCAUUUUACCCGCGGGGAAGCUGAGGCCCAGUGCUGUUUAAUAUCUUACUCAUGUUCACUUGAUGAGAAAGUGACAGAUCUGAGACAAACCCAGGAUCUGGCCAUUGAGUCACUGAGAGACCGUGGAGUCUUCAUAGACCAAGACCAUUCUCUUCAUCAAAGUCUCCCUAUUCCUGUUGAUCGACAGAAAAGAAAUGAGUCAACGAUGGUGCAGGUGAUCUGUGCAGUGCUGUGCAGGGGAUGGGUCAAAGCUGUGAUGCUGGCAUGCAACUAACUCACCAUUGUGAGCCAAUCACAAAAGCAGAAACUUGGCCAAGCUGAAAGGGACCAGCUUGACGAAGCUUCUGCUUUUGUGACUGUCUCCUAAUGAAACCAGAGCACCUCAGAAGAUCAAGGCUUCCAAAUUCUCCUGGGGGAACAGACGUCAGCCAUUCAGCACAAAGGAAACUUCCUUCUCUGUAUGUCAGAGGAAGACAUAAUUGUGCCAUUUCCUUCUUGAAGAAGUUUACAAACAUUUGCAAGUUGUCAAAAAUAAUUAGUCUAAAAUUGUUUCAUAAACCGUGGAAUGAAACAGGACGUGCCUUGUUGAGAUCAAAGGGCUUCUGUUACCUUCUUGUAAACUCAAAUGAAAUUCUUUUGAAAGUAAA